CCAUAUAUACGUACCAUCUUUCUAUCGACAGAUCGAAUGGUCUUAUCCGCGGUUCAUCUCCGAGAUAGAGAAGGCAAGAGGGGAACGGAGCAAGGGAUUGAGAGGCGGUCGUUCGCACGGCCCAUGGACGGGAAACAGGGCACGGCGGCGGUGCUGGCUCCACCAAGCCCUCCUCCGGCGAACCCCGUUGCGCAGCUGCAGGCGCGAGUCAAGGAGCUGGAAAGCGGGUUCCGGGCCUGGCUGGCGAAGCAGCCCACCGCCAUGGAGGCGGCCAUCGUCACCGCCACCAGCGCCGCCCAGGGCGCCUUCAUCGGCGCCCUUAUGGGAUCUCUCACUUCCGACGCCUCCUCGGCCAUCCCCACACCACCUUCGAACGCUCCCGGCCUCAAUCCCGAAGCCAUGGCCUUCCUCAAGCAAGCGCAGGCGUUUGCAGGUGGCCCCUUGGUGCAAGCUCGUAAUUUUGCAGUCAUGACAGGAACUAAUGCAGGCAUUUCUUGCGUGAUGAGAAGAAUAAGAGGGGUGGAGGAUAUGCAAAGUAGCGUGGUAGCAGCUUUUAGUUCUGGAGCAAUGUUUUCAUUGGUUAGUGGCAUGGGAGGCCCAAACCAAGCUCUUAAUGCAGUUACAUCAGGACUUUUUUUUGCACUUGUUCAAGGGGGCCUUUUCAAGAUAGGUGAGAAAUUCUCACAGCCACCGGCUGAUGAUGUGUUAUACUCCCGCACAAAAAGAAUGCUGACGAACCUUGGCCUUCAGAAUUAUGAGAAGAAUUUUAAGAAAGGGUUGCUCAGUGAUGCUACUCUUCCUCUUCUUACGGAUAGUGCUCUCAGAGAUGUCAAUAUUCCCCCUGGGCCUAGGCUUCUCAUUCUCGACCACAUUCAGAGGAACCCCGAGGUGGUAAAACGGUGGUGACAUUGCAGGCAACAUUACUCUCUAAAGUUCGGUUUCAAAACCGAGAGAAAGCUUGGUUGGCCGGCUCAACUGGUUCAGAUGAACAUGGUGUGAUUCAGAAAAUUUAAUGAGACUGCAACUCAGAGGAAGGAACGGGGAGGAACGGUUGCGAAGAUGGGGAGGCUAUUUCUCGUAACAUUGGAGGGGAAGAUCUAUUGCUGCAAGCAAUGUCGGGCCCACUUGGCAGACUUCGAUGACAUCGUCUCUAAGUGUGAACAUUACGCAGGAGAAUGAGUCAGGAAUGAAGACGAAGGAGACGCAGAACGUAUCGCAAAUAUUCUGUGCUAGUUGUGGAGAUGUCGUGGGGUGGACAUAUCACAAGUGGUUUUUUAUCAAGAGGUACAAAAUUACAAAGGCCUGUUAGAAAUCCUCAUCGAGCGACAAAUAAUGGCGGUAUGGGCGACAGCGACGCUGAUGGACGCACGUCGUUUGUACAUGUAUUGUUUGUAAAUUGUUGUGAUGUUCUUCUUGGCUGUCCGGCAUUCCAGUAGUAGCGGUA